GACGAACGCUGGCGGCGUGCUUAACACAUGCAAGUCGAACGGAAAGGCCUCUUUCGGGGGGUACUCGAGUGGCGAACGGGUGAGUAACACGUGAGUGACCUGCCCUUGACUUUGGGAUAACUUCCGGAAACUGGGGCUAAUAACGGCUAGAAGCUCCUGCUGCAUGGUGGGGGUUGGAGAGUUUCGGCGGUUGGGGGUGGAUUCGUGGCGUAUCAGCUUGUUGGUGGGGUAGUGGCUUACCAAGGCUUUGACGGGUAGACGCCCUGAGAGGGUGACCGGCCACACUGGGACUGAGGUGCGGCCCAGACACCUACGGGAGGCAGAAGGGGGGAAUAUUGCACAAUGGGCGGAAGCCUGAUGCAGCAACGCCUCGGGCGGGAUGACUGUGUUCGGGUUGUAAACCGCUUUCGCUCAUGACGAAGCUUUGUGUGACGGUAGUGGGUAAAGAAGCACCGGCUAACUACGUG
rnacentral:rRNA from 1 species